rnacentral:rRNA from 1 species
UUUCCGGUUGAUCCUGCCGCCGGCCACCGCUAUCAAGUUCCGACUAAGCCAUGCGAGUCAAGGUAUCGUAAGAUGCCGGCAAACUGCUCAGUAACACGUGGAUAAUCUAACCUUGAGUAAGGGAUAACCUCGGGAAACUGAGGAUAAUACCUUAUAAUUGCUUAAAACUGGAAUGUUUAAGCAAUAAAAGUUCCGACGCUCAAGGAUGAGUCUGCGACCUAUCAGGUAGUAGGUGGUGUAAUGGACCACCUAGCCUCAGACGGGUACGGGCCCUGGGAGGGGUAGCCCGGAGAUGGACUCUGAGACAUCAGUCCAGGCCCUACGGGGCGCAGCAGGCGCGAACACUGUGCAAUGCGCGAAAGCGCGACACGGGGAGCUUGAGUGUCUUGGCAUAGCCAAGACUUUUCUCAUUCCUAAAAAGCAUGAGGAAUAAGUGCUGGGUAAGACGGGUGCCAGCCGCCGCGGUAACACCCGCAGCACAAGUGGUGGUCACUUUUAUUGAGCCUAAAGCGUUCGUAGCCGGUUUUGUAAAUCUUUAGAUAAAGCCUGAAGCUUAACUCCAGAAAGUCUGAAGAGACUGCAAGACUUGAGAUCGGGUGAGGUUAAACGUACUUUCAGGGUAGGGGUAAAAUCCUGUAAUCCCGGAAGGACGACCAGUGGCGAAAGCGUUUAACUAGAACGAAUCUGACGGUAAGGAACGAAGGCUAGGGUAGCAAACCGGAUUAGAUACCCGGGUAGUCCUAGCUGUAAACACUGCCCAUUUGAUGUUGCUUUUCCGUUGAGGGAAGGCAGUGUCGGAGCGAAGGUGUUAAAUGGGCCGCUUGGGAAGUAUGGUCGCAAGACUGAAACUUAAAGGAAUUGGCGGGGGAGCACCGCAACGGGAGGAAUGUGCGGUUUAAUUGGAUUCAACGCCGGG